UGGGGACACUGUUGGGACCGCCUCUGCUAAAGAGGAGGAAGGAAUGGGCAACGGUAGGUCAGCAUGCCCCGAAUUAUCUGGGCUACACGCGGGCUACAAUGGGUGGGACAAUGGGUAUCGACACCGAAAGGUGAAGGCAAUCUCCUAAACCCAUCCGUAGUUCGGAUUGUGGGCUGCAACUCGCCCACAUGAAGCUGGAAUCUGUAGUAAUCGUGUCUCAAAUGGCACGGUGAAUAUGUCCCUGCUCCUU
rnacentral:rRNA from 1 species